rnacentral:sRNA from 2 species
CUGCAGGGCGCUUAGGGUUCCGUUGUCUGAUUUGACAAGCCUGGUCCAAGAAGCGCCACCUGCCUGGCAAAAUCCGGGCGGGCACACGGCGGGGCAAAAUCCCGGGAGGU